rnacentral:tRNA from 1 species
GGGGAUUUAGCUCAGUUGGUAGAGUGCUUGCAUUGCAUGCAAAAGGCCAUGGGUUCAAAUCCCCA